UAGGGAAUCUUCCGCAAUGGGCGAAAGCCUGACGGAGCAACGCCGCGUGAGUGAUGAAGGGUUUCGGCUCGUAAAACUCUGUUAUUAGGGAAGAACAAAUGUGUAAGUAACUGUGCACAUCUUGACGGUACCUAAUCAGAAAGCCACGGCUAACUACGUGCCAGCAGCCGCGGUAAUACGUAGGUGGCAAGCGUUAUCCGGAAUUAUUGGGCGUAAAGCGCGCGUAGGCGGUUUCUUAAGUCUGAUGUGAAAGCCCACGGCUCAACCGUGGAGGGUCAUUGGAAACUGGGAAACUUGAGUGCAGAAGAGGGAAGUGGAAUUCCAUGUGUAGCGGUGAAAUGCGCAGAGAUAUGGAGGAACACCAGUGGCGAAGGCGACUUUCUGGUCUGUAACUGACGCUGAUGUGCGAAAGCGUGGGGAUCAAACAGG
rnacentral:rRNA from 1 species